AUGUCUUGCUGCGGAGGAAACUGCGGAUGCGGCACCGCCUGCAAGUGCGGCAACGGCUGCGGUGGCUGCAACAUGUACCCCGAGGUUGAGGCCGCCGGCGCCACCCUCCUCGUCUCCGCCACUGCCACUCACAAGGGGAGCUCCGGCGGCAUGGAGAUGGCGGCCGAGAACGGCGGCUGCGGCUGCACCCAGUGCAAGUGCGGCACCAGCUGCGGCUGCUCCUGCUGCAGCUGCUAG
rnacentral:rRNA from 1 species